CUCACAUUGGCGAGCCAGGCAGCGCGGGGUUUUUCCUAAAACAAAUGAGGAUUCUUAAACCAGAAGCGAUGUGGUGAUGGAUCCUCACAGUGGUUCUACCAAUGACAGUGAUGAUGCAAGAAUGCCCAGAAAUGCAACCAGCACCUCCCUCUGGCAGAGUAACUUAACCAUAUAAAGGAGUACUGGUCAACAAUAUUCAAUGGAUCCAUGUUCCAGUCCUAUUAAAGCUGACAGCAUGGUCCCCAGAUCUGGAUGAGCGAUGCCAAAGAGAAAGAAUGAAAGAAAUGUACAAAGAUCUUUUGACAACAGCGUUCCUGAUAUGCCAAGGAGCUGUAGCUACCAGCUCAACCACAAGACAACUGUCAAGAGAACCCCAAACUAAUUACUUAGAGAAAAUAUCAUCUGGACAAAAACUGUUAGGAUUGGUUGACAACAUACUAGGAGCCACUGGAACAGGUUUAGGCAUAUCAAACUGGAUCAGCACUAAAGAACUUUAACAAAAAAGAACUCAAACUUAAAACUCUUGCUGAGAAACUGGCUUUGCAAACAGAUGCAUAUCUACAAGAGGGACUAAAGGAAAAAGAAACGGUGCAAGCUAUCUACAAGAUUGCAUCUGCCCUCUCCAUUAUUGUAAAAAAAAAAAAA